CACAUCCCUCCUCCCCACCAAUCCCCCGUUCUCCUAAAGCCCCGCACCCCUCCUCCCCUGCUCUCGCACCCCGCGUCGGGCCGCCGCCGUUUCUCUCGGUCUGCUCGGAGGGACGGAGAGGGUGAGUCCAUGGUCAGAUGAGGGAGGAAGACAGAUGACGGGGUGGAUCGGGUACUCGAGGAGGACGCCAAGGCCCAGCAGUCUCCCCCAAAUCUCGUCGCCUCGGGCGUGGAGGCGAGCUUCCCGGCGACGUAGGCGUAGCGCCGCCAAGAGGUCAGCAACGAGGAGGUUCAGCAGUCCGUUUCGUCGUCCUCGUCCCUAGGCGUCUGUUGCUGGAGAGAAGGACGCCAAGGCCCAGCAGUUUGUGACGGCCCCACCGGACGACGGACCCGGCGGGACAGCGGGCUCUAGCUUUCUCUCCCUUCUUCUUCAUCUGGACAGAGAAUGACUCUGCUCAGAUGCAUAGUCAGGCAACUCACCGGAGAGAGCUGGGAUGGAGGCGACUCUGAGGAAGAUGAAGGCCAAGAGCGGUGCCGCUGCCGGGGAGAGGAGGCCGGUGCUGUCGAGGACAAUACUGCUCCUCUGCGCCUGCAGCUUCAUCCUUGGCGUGCUCUUCACCGACCGGUUCAGAGCGAUGCCGGAUUUAAAGAGCCAGGUGGUGGCGCAGCUGCGGUGACAGGAAGAGGAGCUGCAGAUCGUUUCUGAAGAUUUUGUUGCGAUCGACAGCAUCCAUUUUUUGGCUCCUGGUUUAUUUCAGAAAAAGAACAAACGAGAAACCAUCCGACGACAGGGACGUGAUGGGGAAGUGGCAAAGACUCAUGAGGCCAUACACAUGGGAUUAGGACGACACACUAUGCCAUGUACACAAAAGGGAGGCAUGGAAGUGGACGUCGAGCAAACAGACGGGGUUCCUCAUCCCCAAGAAAACCCUAGCCUAGCGCUCUGGGAUGAUGUUGGUGAUCGCGGCGGCGCCGGCCUGGGCCCAAAGGCGCGCUUCGUCCUUGAUGGUGGAGCACAGGUGGGAGACAGAGGGUCGGUCCCCGUCGAAGGUGCAGCUGUUUCUAUGCUUCCAAAUCCACCAAGCGGUGAGGAUGAUGAGGGAGGAUAGGCCUUUACGCAUGGCAGCGGGCGCGAGAGCACAAGAAGAGGCCCAACGAUGCAACACCUGCUGGCUGGCUGCUCCUUCUCCCGCCAGGUGUGGUACGAUGUUCUUGCUUGGGCUCGCUUCCCCACCGAUCUGCCGACCGGAGACACCGACUAGAAUAUUGAAAAAUGAUCUGAAUUGUUUGCACUUCUGCGUUAUAUAUCUAUUGGGGGACUAAUUGGUAUAUAUCAUAAUUGUAUCUAGAUAUUUAGACAAGUUGAUCGCCACGCUGCAGAUGGAGUUGGCAGCGCGGUUCAGCAAGCAUGAGCUGCUUGAGAGUGCGGAUGGCAAGGCAGGAAAGGAAAAAGGCUUUUAUGGUGAUCAGGAUCAAUACCGCGUUCAGUAGCAAGAAGCGCCGUGAUUCUGUCAGGGAGAGAUGGAUGCCUCAAGAUGAGAAACUCAAGAAACUGGAAGAGGAAAAGGGAGUCGUCAUUCGAUUUAUGAUUGGGCAUAGGUAAGGUUACUGGCACUAAGGUUCAAUAUAUAAUAACUUGUUUGCUGAAAAAAAAUCAUAAGAUGAGGUCCCGUAAAAGACAAAUCGUAACAUAGAACACAUAUAUUGUAAAUAUCUCCAUGGAAAGCUUACAUAUUUUAGACAAUAAAAGGAACCCGUAAAGCCUCAAUGUUAUAAACAGGUGCAGAUGGGGUUUCCCUAAUUCCCUAUCUUUAAACAGGACACCACUUGUCUAAUUGGACAGUAAGUAGAUAAGGACAUAAAUCUGCUAUUCGUUGUGCAGCUAUGAGUCAACUGUGCAUGAACUGAAAAGGGAAGAUUGAACAAGUUCUGAGCUGCUAUCUGGAACCAUAAGUAUGCAAGUUUUACAAAAUAGUUUGGAUGAAAAAGCAAAACAAUACAAGGAGCCUGCGUAGAUGCACAUAUUUUUGAUGAAUAACACUCAUUUUAGUGUUAUAUCUCAGCUUGUAUGUCAGUAAGUGUGUAAGUUUAGUCUAAUACUCGCUUUUCUUUUUCCUCAGAUCAAAAGCCAAGGAUUUGUUGGGUGAUAGCUUGAUUCUAAGGCAUUAAUAGAUUUACAACACUUCCAAAAAUUUACUGGCAUUUUGUAUUAUAUUUAUUCAAGUCGCUGAUUGAUUCUUGACCAUCACUUGAUCAACUAUAUUCAUUUUCUAAUACAAAGCCACUUCGCUAAUUAUCUUAUGACUAUUGAAGGGUUUAAAAUGUGAGUAUGAUGUGCGUGGAGAGAUUGUCAUCCAUGCUCAGGUAUUUCAAGUGACCAACAAGUGUUAUUUCAGUAAUUUGAAAUCUCCUGUAUUCAGAGUUUAGUCAACUCUUAGUCAUGUUCUUUAAUAAUCAUUAGGUCUAAUAAAAGUUUAGAACGAUGCACUAUUUUUCUGAAUUUUGACUAGGCAAGUGCAUCUUUGGUUGCGCCGAUCGGAUCGGAUUCAAUGCGUACAUCGUAUUGAUGGACUGCUGACCGCUUCAUCUGGUGUUUCCUCUGUCGUGUGAGUUGCAUGUUGUUUUGAGAGCUUGAAGCAAGCAGAAAGCCGAUGGAGGGGCUUAGGGAUGAUGAAAGCAUUAGUGACGACAUCAGGCGAGAGAGUAUCGAGACUGCAAAUCGCUUUCCUGUUUCUGCAUUUCUUACUGUAUAUGUAACUUUGGCAGUAUUCAGAUCGUAUAGCCUACGGGGAGCAGUGGAAAACAUAAUUUGUUGAUGCUUAAAAUUUGGAGUGGUAUGUUUGAUACAUCUGCGCUGUUGACACGGUCUUCUUUAAUGAAUAACAAGGUAGUACAGUAGAAUUGUAACUUUAGAGCCCUGCAAACUGUCUGUGCAAAUUAUGAUGCUGGUUUAUAGAACUAAAUUUGUGGUGUGCCUGUAUUUUAUCUUUAGUUAUAGGUUUCUCGGAAGCUUUACUGUGGGCUGUGUUACUUGCCAAACAAGUUCUAAGCACAAGUCAGAUCCUUUCAUGGCUUCCCUUAUAAGAUGAUAUACAAGGAAGUUUAUUGCUUAGUGUAAUUAGACAAGUGCUUGGAUUAUUCUGUAGUGAAAAUAAUGUGAUUUUCCAUCUUCUUUCUGUUCUUAGAUCAGCUCACCUUAGGCCUUAGCCAUACAAAGUAAUUUGUGAAGAUAUAUGUUCCUUAGUUUGAUCCCACCUUCCCUGAUUAAACAUAUGUCGUUACUCGAUUUGAUUAUUGUAUUAGUGUCUCUUAAGUUCGCUGGAAUCGCUUGAUGUUUCCUUUGAAUUUAGAAGAAGGGAUUCCAGCCAUAAGAUUCUUAAGUUCGUUGGCUCUGCGGCCGCAUCAUGGCAAGACGGCCACAAGGCAGCUGUUGCUUCCAGGCACAGAAAGGCCACCGAUCGGAUCAGCACGCAAGAAACCCGUUCGGAUCGCCGCCGCAAGCCUCGCUUCAGCAACAGAUCAGCCUCUGCACCUACAUCCACUUCGACAGGCUGUCAGUCAAAGUUUAUUUCAAAUUCCAAUCUAGAAUAGUUACACUUUUUCGCCUCUACGUGCCUGCUUCUUCUAGCAGAGUUGCAUUUCUCCUAUUUUCAAAGCUUCAAAUAACUCGAUUUGAUUAAAAAUCAUUCAUAGGGGAACCCAGCUGGAAGUUUUGAUGAUCAUUGCACAUGGGGUAACAAAGUGAAGCUUUACAAAGAUCAAGUCAGAAAAUUGAAGCGUCUCAUCUCUGCGAAAAAGUCACACAUCAAUUGUUACAUUUGCCACAUGAGCCUUCAAAUACCUAUGGAAGUAUACCAUGCAAGCAUUACGCGACAAUGACACUCUCUUUAUUCCUACGUUCACACCUUCUGAAAACCAGUCAGACUAAGAUGACUAAAUAAGCUCUACAACUGCCUAUGUAUGUGUUUCUGUAAAACGAUCAACCUCACUCUACUAUAUGUGAUAAAUUCACAUUGCAUUAUGUUUGUAGCUACAUCCCCUACCUAUUCACUACUAACAUCGCUACUAACUGGCUGCUUACGCCAUUGGCGCAACCGGGUCAUCUAGUUAAACAUAUAAAGGAUGAGCUAGUGCGCCCAACCAGCGGCACCAGCCACGUCUCCUUUUUUGCAUCUAUGAAUGUCCCGAGCGCUCUCUUUCCCCUUUCCUCUCCCUCGUGCUUUCCUUUCCUCGCCGCCGCCACUCCAUCCUAGCCGCCUCCUCUCCUCGCGCCGCCACCGCUUCCACCCUCCCUCUGGGCCGCCUCGUCUCCUCCGCCUCCGCCACCUCCUCCUCCCCUUCCUCUCCCCCUCCCGUGCCUCCGCACCCGACUAGCACGGCCAGACCACGUGACGUGGACGAGGAGAUGACAGCUCGGGAGGCAGGCUCCUUCCAUGGCGGCACCCCAACCUGCCGGAUUUUCCUCCUCGUCAGCUCAGCGGAGAGGAGCGGUGGAUCCGCCUCCUCUUGGACCUAGCGCCCGAUCCGAGGUGUGCGGGCGCGGACGAGCUUCCCCUGCCGGCCCGCGGCAGCGGCGACCUACAAGCAAAGGGCAAGGGCCAGGCGACGGCAGAGAGAGAGAAGAUGAGAGGGAGAAGAAGGAAGGAGAGGAGGGAGAAAGAGAGAGAGGAAAGAGGAGAAGGAGGCGCGGCGUCGGAUGGGAGAGGGUCACCACCGGCCGAGGCCUGCGCGUGGCGGUUCGAUGUGAUCCUCGCGCCUUCUCUUCCUCGUCCCGCCGACCUCAUUCUCUGUUACUCUCAUGUUGGCCGUGGCGACAGGUCGCGGCGGAGGAUCUGGAGCUGAGCCCACGCAGUUGAGGUUGAGGAAGACGGAGGUGAGGGAAGCAGCAACAAGACUGCUGGCUGGUGACGGGUCAGCGGCCACGAGAGGAGGGGGAAGGGGGAUGACGUCAUGCUUUCUCGCCACCUGCACGUCCUCGUCCCAUAGUCCGCUGCUCCUUGUCUGCGCCGUUUCAACUCCAGCUGCAGCAGUGCGUCUCCAUGAUCCUUCCCCUCCUCCGGCUUCUCUCCUUCCAUAGCUACUUAUGCUGCAAUAGUUUCAGUGCAAGUAUAGUCAGGACAGGGAGGCAGAAGAGAGGACAUGCUGAAGAAUGAAGGUGGACAAACCAGGUGCACAUGAACAGCAAGGCAUGUUUGGCGUCUUACUUGACCGUGCUGCAGAACAACAUCUUGUGGUUCUACCCAAGGGUUGACGCCGAGCACCGGGGCGUACUGCAGGAGUAGCGCCCUGCGUCCUUUGUCAACGUCCAUAGCAUCAAGGACCUCCUCACGCCCCUGUGCAGAUGGCACUCGCUCGUGAUCACAGGAAACCGGACGACGCAUGUGCCCGUUGUCUGUCAGCGCCGACAAGGUUGGUUCUAUGUUAAGGCCCUGCGUCCUCACGUAAGAGGGCAUGAUUCAUAAGCAAACAAAUACUUCAGGCACGAUGGAUAUUGAUGUAGACUACAUCAAAGUGCUGCAGGACCAAAUUGAGAAAAAUUGUGGUGGUGAUGAUUGAUCUGUAUUUUUUGAAGGGGGUCAUUGGUCAUGACUCCACUGUAGCAUAGGUGAUAAUUCCUCACCCUAUAUUUGCGUGUAGUAGCCUCAAACAUCAACUUUCUUAUGAUUUUUCUCUAGCAUGUUGCUCGCUGGUUUUGACUAUUGAUUUUGGUAGACGGUGCCCAGUUUAGGACAUGAUCCAACUCUCAGUUACAUACAUGGACCUUCUCUUUCUACAUCUCUAUGGUAGUAAACUUUCUUACUUUAGAGACGGAUCAGAAGGCGUUUCUUUUGCUUUUGGUGUUGAGGAUGCACCAAACUAUGCACAAAAUGAAGGUACUAGACAAUAAUGCACUUUUAGAUGGUACACUGGUGCUGAUGAAUCAAUUUUUUUGUUACUGCUUUAUGCUUCUGACAGUGUGCGCUAGCUUAUCUAUUAUAUCAGAUAAUACUGUCUCACACAUGUAGUGCAUAUUGGUUAUUUUCACUUGAUUUGGAUAAGUAAAGUGCGGCUAUAUUUUUCUUAACUGUUCCUAUUCUUUGACAAUCUUCUGCUUCGGUUUCUGUUUCUUUCUUGUUUCAGGUUCUUUAUAUCGAGUGCCUAUUAAUUAGUCACAUGUCCAUAGAUACUUUAUUAUGCCCUUUAAUGAUCUCAUCCCAUGCGACUCACAUAUGAGUUAUACAUAUGCAUGGUUGUGAGAAUUAGAGGGACAGUUAGUGUUCCCUUGAAGAAAAGUGCAAGCAUGAUCUACUUUAAAUUGGAACACUUAUGUUAGAAAACAUGGUCAAUGGACUGUACAAGAAAAUCAUUUUUUCAGUAAAUUGUGACAGAUCCAAAAUAACCAACCGAAAACAACAAAAUUAUUUUUUCAGUAAUUUGUGAUGCCUCAUAGACAUGUUUUCACUUAGAUUAGAACGGCUUAAGAAAUAUCCUAUGUAAGAUAGGUUGUAAAGUAGCAGUUGUAUAUACAUAGCUACAGUGUGUUUCCUGAACAUCACAACUUCAUCUUAUGAUGUGCUCACUGUAAUCAUAUUUUUUUGUUUCAUGUAAAGUAGUAGUAGGUUCUUUUGAUGCCAAUGAUUCAUUAUCAGAUCCCAUGAGGCACUAAUAUCAUGCUAGCUCUGUAUUUUGUUGGUGGUAUUCCCACUGUAAUUCACUCUCAACAUGCCGGUAAUUUCGAGUUUUGUUUCUUUUAUUCUCACAUGUAAUUUCUUUGUUCCAUCUUUGCUAUGAACCAGUGCUGAUGUUCUGUUUUCCUGCGGUUGUCGCCACUGUACUUUGUUCCUUGCAUGAACAAAAGAGGAUUAAUGAAACAACAUUCGCGCUGAAGAAGAAAAAGGAUAUGUUGCCCAUCAAUUCUAUCAUACUCAAGAAUCGCCAUUCAUUUUGUGAGGUUAAAAGGAUUGUCCGCUUCCUUCCUUGCAUGAUAACCACAUCAAUGGAUUGGUGUUGAACAUAACAAGUUCAAGGAAAAUUGGAAGUAGUGGCACACCAGCCAUGAAAAGUUUGAGAGGGCUAUGCAACCACAAGAAAUGAUGUGCUCCUGUCAUUUUGCCAUGAUCUUGUGGCCCCAUUCCACAGGUGGCACGUCAGUUCCUUAGGUGGAUCCUCAGCAGAUCGAGCCGCCUCACCCCCUUGCAAGCAAACCUUGACCAUGUCUGCUGGCACAUGCAGCGAUCACUCUACCUGAGUUCCAUGACUGCAUAUCUUAGUCACAAUAAGCUAAAUGACUAGAGCUAUUUAUAUGAUGCAUCUCUAUCUAUGUAUCUUGCUUUUUCAAAGCAAUGUAAAUGGUUUGAAUUGAUCUUAUCAUGAACUGAUCUCAUGCCUUUGUUUUGGCCUAUAAACGUAACAUGCAAUGUAAUAUAUAAUGCUAUGUAUCGACAACAUGCUGAAAUAUCUAUUUUUGCUUCAA